rnacentral:rRNA from 1 species
CCUACGGGUGGCAGCAGUGAGGAAUAUUGGUCAAUGGGCGCGAGCCUGAACCAGCCAAGUAGCGUGAAGGAUGACUGCCCUACGGGUUGUAAACUUCUUUUAUAAAGGAAUAAAGUGAGUCACGUGAGCCUCUUUGUAUGUACUUUAUGAAUAAGGAACGGCUAACUCCGUGCCAGCACCCGCGGUAAUACGGAGGGUCGGAGCUUUAUGCGGAUUUAUUGGGUUUAAAGGGAGCGUAGAUGGGUUGUUAAGUCAGUUGUGAAAGUUUGCGGCUCAACCGUAAGAUUGCAAUUGAUACUGGCAGUCUUGAGUACAGUUGAGGUAGGCGGAAUUCGUGGUGUAGCGGUGAAAUGCUUAGAUAUCACGAAGAACUCCGAUUGCGAAGGCAGCUUACUAAACUGCCACUGACGUUGAUGCUCGAAAGUGUGGGUAUCAAACAGGAUUAGAUACCCCUGUAGUC